GAAACCUCUCCUACAGCUCAGCAGGUGCUUGAAAUGAACUCCAGUACCAUCAACAAACUACUGACUGCCCUCAAUGAAUGCACAGAGUGGGGGCAAGUCUUUAUACUAGACGCGAUUUCCAACUACACUCCCAAAGAUGACAAAGAAGCUCAAAGCAUCUGUGAGCGAGUGACUCCCCGAUUGGCCCACGCUAACGCAGCUGUGGUCCUGUCAGCCGUGAAGGUUGUAAUGAAGUUCAUGGAAAUGUUGGAGGCCAACUCUGAGUACAUCUCUACCCUGGUAAAGAAGCUGGCCCCUCCCCUGGUCACCCUGCUGUCUGCUGAGCCAGAAAUUCAGUAUGUGGCCCUCAGGAACAUCAAUCUGGUGGUGCAGAAACGACCGGAGAUCCUCAAAAAUGAGAUGAAAGUUUUCUUUGUGAAAUACAAUGACCCAAUUUACGUGAAACUGGAGAAACUGGACAUUAUGAUCAGGCUCACUUCUCAGGCCAACAUUGCUCAGGUCCUGGCAGAACUUAAAGAGUACGCUACAGAGGUAGAUGUGGACUUUGUGAGGAAGUCAGUGCGAGCUAUUGGUCGCUGUGCCAUCAAGGUCGAACCAGCCGCUGAGCGAUGUGUCAGUACGCUGCUGGACCUGAUUCAGACCAAGGUCAACUAUGUAGUGCAGGAGGCCAUUGUUGUCAUUAAGGACAUUUUCAGAAAAUAUCCAAACAAGUAUGAAAGCAUUAUUGCAACACUUUGCGAAAAUUUGGACACAUUGGAUGAACCUGAAGCAAGAGCCUCCAUGAUUUGGAUCAUUGGUGAAUAUGCAGAGAGAAUUGAUAAUGCAGAUGAACUGUUGGAAAGUUUCUUAGAGGGAUUCCAGGAUGAGAAUACUCAGGUGCAGCUACAGCUGCUGACAGCCAUUGUAAAACUGUUUUUGAAGCGACCAACUGACACACAGGACCUGGUUCAGCAGGUGCUCAGUCUGGCCACACAGGAUAGCGACAACCCAGAUCUGAGAGACAGGGGCUACAUAUACUGGAGGCUUCUGUCCACUGAUCCAGCGGCAGCUAAGGAGGUGGUUCUGGCUGAGAAGCCCCUCAUUUCAGAGGAGACAGAUCUGAUCGAGCCCACGCUGUUGGACGAGUUAAUUUGUAACAUCUCCAGUCUGGCUUCAGUUUACCACAAACCCCCCAAUGCCUUCGUGGAGGGCAGUAAAUCCUCUCUUCGGAAAAUCCUGCCACCAAGGUCACAGUCAGGUAACGUUGGUGAUGACCAGCCAUCUCCCCCAGCUGAGGCCCCCUCAGCCCCCGCAGCCACUGUCAUCCCUGGGGUGGACUCCCUUAUUGGAGACCUUCUGGACAUGGACCUGGGGGGACCCUCCAUGCAGCAGCAACAAAUGUAUCCCCCACAGCCCACCUCACAGACUCCCGUACAGGGGGGUGGGGGCAUGGAUCUACUUGGAGAGGGACUGGAUUCUCUGCUUGGUGGACCUGCUCCGAGUGGGGAUUCUUUAGGGGGACUGGGUGAUAUAUUUGGAAUGCCAACAGCACAAUCUUAUGUGCCUCCACAAGAAGUGUGGCUGCCAGCAUCUAAAGGUAAAGGACUUGAGGUCACUGGCACAUUCAGCAGGAAGCAGGGAAAUGUCAUCAUGGAACUGACAUUUGCUAAUAAAGCCAUGCAGCCAAUGACAGGAUUCGCAAUACAGUUUAAUAAAAAUAGCUUUGGUUUGAUGCCUGCAUCACCUAUAAACAUUCCUUCAGCAUUACUUCCUAACCAGAGCACCAGCUAUUCUCUACAGUUGAGCACUAUGGGAGCAGUGCAGCGAAUGGACCCACUCGCAAAUCUACAGGUGGCGAUAAAGAACAACAUAGACGUGUUCUACUUCAGCUGUCUGGUGCCCAUGCAUGCCCUCUUUGUGGAAGACGGUGAAAUGGAAAAACGUGUAUUUUUAGCCACAUGGAAAGACAUUCCUGCCCAAAAUGAAGUUCAGCAUGAGAUCUGUAAUGUACAGCAUAAUGCAGACACCAUUUCACAGAAGCUGAAGAACAACAAUGUUUUUACGAUAGCAAAGCGUAAUGUAGAAGGACAAGACAUGUUAUAUCAGUCACUCAAAUUAACAAAUGGAAUCUGGGUGUUAGCAGAAUUAAAGAUACAGCCCAAUAAUCCCAACUUUAUGCUAUCCCUAAAAGCCAGAGCAAUGGAUGUAUACCAAGGCAUACAGCAGGCGUUUGACAACAUCCUUCACAAUUAAUGACCAGACUUUUUGAUUUUGUUUUAUGCCAUAAUAAGUGGACCUAAUUCCGUAACGGUGUUGUGAUAAUCCUUAAACAUUUUAGGAUGUUCUAUUCAUUUAUGCAUAUAUUAUAUUACAAGGUGUGGAUGCACACUUACGCUAUGUCUAAAUGUAUGUUAUGUUGAAUAUACUGUAUUUAUUAUUGUAUCUGAAGGUAUGUAGAAUCAUUGAAAAAUCUUUUAAAUCAAAGUUUGUCUCCCUUGGACAAUAAUAUAGUACUAUUAAAAGGAAACUUGACUUCUUUUUUAAUGUGGAGGCAAAAUUAUCAGUUAAUGUUAAUUUCACAUACAUGUACUACUGUAGAAGCACAUGUUUUUGUUGGUUAAAAUUUCCUGGUUCUUAAACCAAAUACAAUUUUGUUGGCAUUUAUUUUCGUUGUCAUAUUGUAAUCCCUAAAAUGUAUUGCAUAUCAACUCUGUAUUUAUUUAUACUUCUGUUAAAAAUUUGUUACGU
rnacentral:misc_RNA from 1 species